rnacentral:lncRNA from 1 species
ACAUCUUUUUUUCACGAAGUCUGAUAGUUCAGAGAAGCACAACAGUAGAAUUGAAGAAACAAGUAGCAGCUGGUGCCCACGCUCACCAAUGGUUGCAUCACAUCUUUUGUUCGCAAAGUCUGAUAGUUCAAAUGUGAAAUUAGGUCUUGAGCUUAACUUAAACUCCAAAAGCUAGGUCAAAGGAAGGAGAAUUACUCAAGCCUCCCAUCUCAUUAACUAUCAACGUGAGACACUCUCAGUAAUACAGAGAGAGGAUUAGAAGUGUAAGAGAGAAUAUCUCAUUUCGAUAUUUUGUGUAUUGAAUGAUGUGUUGUAUAUGUGUAUGUACACACAGUUAGUUGACGAACUCUUUAAUUUACUUUUGGAAUAAUUCUUCACUAACUACUUCACUAACUAAUUUUAGCUAAUGACUCAUAUUAUCAAUUACACAGUUACCCUCUAAGACAUAGCUUUUAGCUAGUUUUGAGAUCACUAAUAUUAACAAAAUAUCUAUAAAAAAAAGGAGCUAGAAGAUAUGCAGUUUCACAAGUGAUUCAUUCCGAUAAACGAGAGAUUUAGAGGGUAUUUGGAUCGACUUAAAAGUUGAUCAAGCCUACUUUUAAGAUAGUUUUGACUUCUGGAAGUAUUUGAUAAGUAUAAAAAUAACUUAAAAUAAGUAAAAAAAUCACUUAAAGUAAGUUAGGAAGUGUUUGACAAGAUUAAAAAUAUCUUAAAAUAAGUUUAAAAUGAUAAGUUAAAAACCAAAAGUAGGUUUCCUCUACUUUUUAUUUCUUGACUUAAAAGUCAUUUAAAUUUGACUUUUUAUUUUUGACUUAAAAACUACUUUUUAAGUCAAUCCAAACGGGCUCAGUUGCAAAUUACAAAUGUUAUUUAAUUACCUCACUAUUUUCACUGAAAUUUGCCAAAAGCAUUAUUGAACAUCUGUGAAUGAAGCACAUGAGAUAACAGUAUAUAAAGUCAUUUUUUUCUAUUCAUUCAAAUUAUAAGUGUGAAUCGAAAAUCAUUUCCAUCACCUUUUAGUAUAUCCUUCUUCCUUAUAUGAUCAUUCCAAAUGCAGAUGCUCUGCGAUGAGUAUAGCUUCAAAUUAAUUUAUAUGAAUAUACUUACACUGUUAUAAAAAUCUACGUUUCGAUCAUUUUUUUAGGAUGUAUUUGAGUAAGGUAUAUUAAAUGUAUAAAAUUAAAUUUAAAUUGUAUAGACCAAACUAGUCUUGGGAACGUGCGUUGCACGUUUGUCCCCCUAUUACUAUAUAAAAUUUGUAGCCAGUAUAAAAUCCUCAGUUGUAAAUUUAAAAUUAUAUAUUCAUCCACAUGUACAUAAUUUUUCUCAGACUGUAUACAUACUUGUUAAAGGAGUAGAUAUUAUGUCCCGAUAUCUUGAAUUUGUAAACAAAGGAUUCAUUACUAUAAUUGAAAUGCUAGAUUCUCUAGUUACACAAGAAACAAAAAAUUUAAGACUGUCAAGAAAAAUGAUAAUAGAAAAAGGAAAAUUUUAAGUCAAGAUCUAAUUUCAUUGUAUGUGUAUAAAUAAGAGAAAGUGUAUUUAAUUCAAGAAAGCACAGUUUUUUUCUUUGAUUUGGAGAGGAAAACAGAACAUCCACCAAUAAACACCAUUCAACCACUGUAUAUUUUCUUGGACAAUUUCAAUAGAAGCAAAGGAAAUGUACCAGUUUCCAUCUCCUUGCUCCUGCUCUUUCAAACAUAGGAAUUUCAUUCUUAUAAAUAUUUGUCAUCUACUCCACCCAGAUUUUUCAUUGUUGAGUUUAUGUGAUUACCAUUAGUCGACUCUCCAAGCUAAAGCCAUUUCAUUGACAAAAGGAGGCAGUCUGAGUGGAGCAACAAAUAUCAAAACCAAAAUUUCCAACACAUUACAAAACAUGGCAGAUUGGGAACAUUCUAGCGUCUAAAAGUGACAUCCAUAUGCAGUAAGACAUUAAGAAAUUAUUUCACCAAGAGCACCAUUUUCUAGAUCCAAGAAUAGCAAUAUGGACUUGAUGUCCCUCUAGUUUGGACAUCAAAAAAUCUGAAUAUAAUAGGAAACAAAGCAAUAACAAUUGAUUUUUGGUUAUGAAAUAUUAAUAUGGAUGUCCCCGAAUAUUCUCUAUGAUGUAUAGUUAAUCCUUCACUACAUACAUCAUAAUGAAUAGAACUUUCACACCCUCUAACUUUUCCCAUAAUCUCCCAUGUUAAUGCUAUGUUAUAACAACCUUUUGUAUGCCUCUAUCAAUACUAUAUAUAGAGGCUCAUAUUGUGUACACUUGAACAUACUUAUUGAAAGAAUAAGAAAUCGCUCUUCUCUUAUCUCCGUGUUUCUAUUGCUUUAAUAACGAAGGGUCUAAGACAUUGUGUUUGAUGGUGAAGAAAGAAAGUGUUGAGACGAAAAUGGUUAUCAUAAAGGUUUUUUUCUUUCUUUUUUUCUUCCGUCAAUUCAUAGUGAAAUUCUUGAUUAUCAAGCACACUAACGAAAAUAUUAAAUUUACUUGAGAAAACGGAGUUAAGUAGGAAAAAGAACACUGAAGCAAAGUUAAAUAGACUGAUCUAAAUAAUUUUAAGGGAAUUCAUUUUUAUAGCUCAUAUUAACAUCAUGGCACAUAACAACUCUGGGAAAAAGUUAGGUUGUUGAUUGAAAAAUUCAAUUUGCUACAAGAAAUCAUCGAGUUCAUACAUACGAUGGCAACCAUCAUUUUCUUAUGGCAUCACUACUGAGAUCACUUCUACACCACCAUAUGCAACAAAGCCUCAUUAGAAAAGUGAAAUUAUCCUCUAGGCAUCGUAGUCACACAGGAAAAAGGACUCUAUUUUUUUUUCCAGUAUAUUGGUUUAGGAAAAAAAAAAAAAAGAGAACUAUGUACCUAUCCUUACACGUGUUUCCAAAUAACUGGUUCUUGAAAGACAAACUAUUUGGACGCAUCCUUCAUUUGGUUAGCAAUUCCUGCUUCGUUUGCUCAGCCAUUUUAGAUAAAUCUUAUAUUCUCCUCGAGGUCCUUACAACAAAUCUUUGGAAACCUGAAGAUCAAUUCUUGAUGCCAUUUAAAAGUACUUCAAGCUCACUUUUUGACACCAUUUAAAUUGAAGCAAGUCAUAGUAUCAUGAGAGAAAAAUAAAAAUAAGUUAACAUGAUAUAGUCCCAAAAAGGAAAAAGAAAUUAAGAAACCAUAGAAAAACAGAUACCAAAACAACCAUUUGUUAUCAUCUACUAUUAUUCAAGAUUUAAUCAAACAAAAUAGAAAAGAAAACGGGAUAAAAAAUAUACCAGGCCCGAGAGCAUGGCCGUAAUUCUUGAAGCGACCCAUCUCCACAAGUAGAAGUUGCGCUUGGAUCAGUAUAUGAAUCCUAAUUACUGAGGAGAUCUAUUUCAGACUUUUGAUUUCUGAAAAGAUGUGUAGCGGUAUUGGAGAUGAAACGGUCAUAACUCCUGGGAAUUUGAAGUGACGGCUAACUGUAUAUGAUGAUUAGAAUUAGUAUAAUAAUUUAUUAAUAUAAUAAGAUUAUUAUUUAAUAAUUAAUUAAUUAAUGUUUUCAUUUUUUAUUUAGUUGAAGGGUGAAAUGGUAAUUCAACUUUUGAUUUAGAUUCUUCCCACUUUUAAUAAUAUA